rnacentral:sRNA from 1 species
CAGGGAAAGCCGAGCGGCCACCUAGCCGGCAGAGACCCACCGAGCGGCGGCGGAGGGAGCAGCGCCGGGGCGCACAAGGGCACCAUGGCCCAGACGCCCGCCUUCGACAAGCCCAAAGUAGAACUGCAUGUCCACCUAGACGGAGCCAUCAAGCCUGAAACCAUCUUAUACUAUGGCAGGAGGAGAGGGAUCGCCCUCCCAGCUAACACAGCAGAGGGGCUGCUGAACGUCAUUGGCAUGGACAAACCACUCACCCUUCCAGGCUUCCUGGCCAAGUUUGACUACUACAUGCCUGCUAUCGCGGGCUGCCGGGAGGCUAUCAAAAGGAUUGCCUAUGAGUUUGUAGAGAUGAAGGCCAAAGAGGGCGUGGUGUACGUGGAGGUGCGGUACAGUCCGCACCUGCUGGCCAACUCCAAAGUGGAGCCAAUCCCCUGGAACCAGGCUGAAGGGGACCUCACCCCAGACGAGGUGGUGGCCCUAGUGGGCCAGGGCCUGCAGGAGGGGGAGCGAGACUUCGGGGUCAAGGCCCGGUCCAUCCUGUGCUGCAUGCGCCACCAGCCCAACUGGUCCCCCGAGGUGGUGGAGCUGUGUAAGAAGUACCAGCAGCAGACUGUGGUGGCCAUUGACCUGGCUGGAGAUGAGACCAUCCCAGGAAGCAGCCUCUUGCCUGGACAUGUCCAGGCCUACCAGGAGGCUGUGAAGAGCGGCAUUCACCGUACUGUCCACGCCGGGGAGGUGGGCUCAGCCGAAGUAGUAAAAGAGGUGAGGGUCUGGGCUGGCCAUGGGGUUCCUCCUCACUGUCUCCUCCCACACUUGGCUCCAUUCUGCUUCUCUACAGGCUGUGGACAUACUCAAGACAGAGCGGCUGGGACACGGCUACCACACCCUGGAAGACCAGGCCCUUUAUGACAGGCUGCGGCAGGAAAACAUGCACUUCGAGAUCUGCCCCUGGUCCAGCUACCUCACUGGUGCCUGGAAGCCGGACACGGAGCAUGCAGUCGUUCGGCUCAAAAAUGACCAGGCUAACUACUCGCUCAACACAGAUGACCCGCUCAUCUUCAAGUCCACCCUGGACACUGAUUACCAGAUGACCAAACGGGACAUGGGCUUUACUGAAGAGGAGUUUAAAAGGCUGAACAUCAAUGCAGCCAAAUCUAGUUUCCUCCCAGAAGAUGAGAAGAGGGAGCUUCUCGACCUGCUCUAUAAAGCCUAUGGGAUGCCACCUUCAGCCUCUGCAGGGCAGAACCUCUGAAGAUGCCACCCCUCCAAGCCUUCG